GACGAACGCUGGCGGCGUGCUUAACACAUGCAAGUCGAACGGAAAGGCCCUGCUUGCAGGGUACUCGAGUGGCGAACGGGUAAGUAACACGUGGGUGAUCUGCCCCGCACCUCGGGAUAAGCCUGGCAAACUGGGUCUAAUACCGGAUAGGCGCCACAUUUAGUGUGAUGGAUGGUAAGCUUUUUCGGUGUAGGAUGGGCUCGCGGCCUAUCAGCUUGUUGGUGGGGUAAUGGCCUACCAACGCGGCGACGGGUAGCCGGCCUGAGAGGGUGGACGGCCACAUUGGGACUGAGGUACGGCCCAGACUCCUGCGGGGGGCAGCAGUGGGGAAUAUUGCACAAUGGGCGCAAGCCUGAUGCAGCGACGCGGCGUGGGGGAUGACGGCCUUCGGGUGGUGAACUCCUUUCGCUAGGGACGAAGCUUUUUGUGACGGUACCUAGAUAAGAAGCACCGGCUAACUACGUG
rnacentral:rRNA from 1 species